UACAGAGGGUGCAAGCGUUAAUCGGAAUUACUGGGCGUAAAGCGCGCGUAGGCGGCUUUGCAAGUCGAGUGUGAAAUCCCCAGGCUUAACCUGGGAACUGCAUUCGAGACUGCAUAGCUAGAGUAUGGGAGAGGGAAGUGGAAUUUCAGGUGUAGCGGUGAAAUGCGUAGAUAUCUGGAGGAACACCGGUGGCGAAGGCGGCUCACUGGACCGAUUCUGACACUGAGGUGCGAAAGCUAGGGUAGCAAACGGG
rnacentral:rRNA from 1 species